UCAGAUUAUUGAAGAGAUAAAGAGGUUCAAGAACCGUGACGUGAAAGUCUGCAGCUUCAGGUUCUGGUAUGUUUCUAUUCUCUUGUUUUUAAUCUUUUUACAUGGAUGCAUAGCAUCUGAUCAGCUAUGAUAAUCAAUCAGGCUUAUGAAAUGCGUACUUCAAUGAUAGCUUGUGUUGUGUCACACACGCGCGCGCGCGCGCGCACAGCUUUGAUCUCUUAGUUUUAUGUUGAUUUUGGAAGCGAAUAUUAUACAUUCUACAUGCCACGUUCUGUUGAUAAAGAUAGAAGUGCAAACAAGAGAGCACUGUUUUAAGUGUACUGCAGGAUCCUUUAAUCGUUGCUGUAAGGAAGAAAGCCUACUGGGCUUGUCGAAUUUGGUGUUCGAAAUUCAUAAACUGCAGCGAAAUGAAAUUAAGCUUGUAGAGAUCGUGGAUGCAAUGGAAUGGUAAAAUUUAUGCUGGCACUGAUGAUGAGAUUACAAGUUCUCACUUCAAAAGCUAAUUCAUGUGAAAGAGACUGCCAUGAUGUUGUGCCAGUUUUCGAUGCACAUGUUGGUGAAAUUUUUUGAUAUUAUGUACCAUGCCAGAGUUUGAGCACGACUCAGGAGUUAUUCCAAGAUGUUUGUGUAUGGAUUUCAUAGCCUUUUAUAGGAGUGUCCAGAACAACUCUUUACGUUUCUUUUCCUGGCAGUGGAUAAUUUAAAUAUAAUUGUAUCCUUGUUCACGGGCUUUUGUGGAGUUUCAUGUCAUGGCGAACUCAGGGUAACAUAAGCUUCGAGAUAGCUUCAAGAUAGAUAAUAAGCAGGGCAUGCAGCAUUUCUUUGUGUGUUUUAAUUCCAAAAAGCAAGGAGACUAGUGAUCAAAUUUAAAUAGAGCAGUUUGGGCAUUUACGGUGUAGUAUGCUCUGCUAAUUUUGCGCCUCUUAUUCUCAAUUUAACAGAAUUCACGACCGUGGCCCAUUUGGAUGGAUUAUAAAUUUUUAAGUGAUUUACAUUAGCAAUUACCACUCGACGUUUCACACAGAGAUUUUGGGAUAUAUAAUAUAUGUUCUUUUAUUUUCAUGCAGCUAUCAUCUCAGAUUCUACAUGAGGUUAGACAUCACUUUUAUUCAUAUGACAUUAGCUUUAAUCUAUAAAUCUUUGGCAAUGAACUCGUUAAUGUUGGACCUCAGGAAUAACUACUUUGGAUUUAGUGCAACUAUUUUGUGGAUAUUUAUGUGGUUCUCAUUUCUCCAAGUGCUUAAGGGUUGGUAAAUAAGAUUCAUGUCAAGCUCUUUUAAACAUUCCUAUUCGUUUGAUGGUUACAAAUUCUGUUCGGUCAUUCCAGUCCAGGCACAAGCGGCUGAGUAAUUGAAAAGGAAAAUAGUUGAGAAGAGCUAAAUAUGCUCUUCAUUUCCUAGAGAAACAAAGAGCCCUGCUAGCACUCUGUUUAGAAAUGGAAUCAAGAAGCGGCAUGCACGUGUAUUGCGUAAACGCCACAGUUUGCAGCAGAAUGUUGAAUUAUAACUUUGUUGCCAAAUUUACCUGUCCUCACGGAAUUUGUUUGUAUGACUGCAAAGUUGUAUCAAGUCACUUCUCGUUGUUAACUACAAGCUCUUUCCCCUUAAAUUGUAACGAUUCUGAAGACAGAUGCUUUUCUACUCCAUUCAAUCAAAAGAACAUCAGUGGGACAAGAAGGGAAGAGAUUGGUCUGGAUGACAUGCUCUGCUGGUUUGUCUUGGAUUAGCCAUAUCAAGGUCGUAUAUGCAAACCAAUAAAAACAAUUAGCAUGGCUAGAGCAUUUAUGUGCCCGUCAGUACAUUACUAUUGUAUUUUGCAAUAGAAAAUCAAGGCAAUAAUGAAAAUGAGCUGUCAUCAGUCAUUAACUAGUUUUCUUUGGCAUGCCCUGGAAGAAAAAUGAAUUAUCUUUCUACU